rnacentral:rRNA from 1 species
AUUGAACGCUGGCGGCAGGCCUAACACAUGCAAGUCGACCCCGCGGCGGACGGGUGAGUAAUGUCUGGGAAACUGCCUGAUGGCGGGGGCUAACUACUGGAAACGGUAGCUAAUACCGCAUACCAUCAGAUGUGCCCAGAUGGGAUGAGCUAGGAGGUGGGGUAACGGCUCACCUAGGCGACGAUCCCUAGCUGGUCUGAGAGGAUGACCAGCCACACUGGAACUGAGACACGGUCCAGACUCGUACGGGAGGCAGCAGUGGGGAAUAUUGCACAAUGGGCGCAAGCCUGAUGCAGCCAUGCCGCGUGGGGGAAGAAGGCCUUCGGGUUGUAAAGCACUUUCAGCGGGGAGGCGUUACCCGCAGAAGAAGCACCGGCUAACUCCGUGCCAGCAGCCGCGGUAAUUC